rnacentral:rRNA from 1 species
UACGAAGGGGCUAGCGUUGUUCGGAUUUACUGGGCGUAAAGCGCACGUAGGCGGUUUGUUAAGUGAGAGGUGAAAUCCCAGAGCUCAACUCUGGAACUGCCUUUCAUACUGGCAGCUAGAGUCCGGAAGAGGUAAGUGGAACUCCUAGUGUAGAGGUGGAAUUCGUAGAUAUUAGGAAGAACACCAGUGGCGAAGGCGGCUUACUGGUCCGGAACUGACGCUGAGGUGCGAAAGCGUGGGGAGCAAACAGG